rnacentral:rRNA from 1 species
GUCUACGGCCAUACCACCCUGAACGCGGCCCGAUCUCGUCUGAUCUCGGAAGCUAAGCAGGGUCGGGCCCCGGUUAGUACUUGGAUGGGAGACCGCCUGGGAAUACCGGGUGCUGUAGGCU